ensembl:ncRNA F29F11.19 ncRNA
UCUUCACAUAAAGUGGAUCAUCUUCAAGACGACAAGCCUCCUCUCCUCUCCGACCUUCUCUCUUCAAAAAACACUUACUUGUUAUGAAGUGCCGAUUGUGACUGCUGUUGUGGCGCCGCUGAUGCACUUGAAGCCGAUGAAGCGGCGCCGCCAUCUCCAGUUCGAGAAGUGGUAUCAUUCACUCCGACGCCAACACUUGUAGACAAUCCAUGUUGCUCCGAUGGGCUUGCAACGGAUGAAACCGAAGCGAUAGAAGGCGUCGCUGCUGCUAGCGCCGACACGUUGAACAUCGGCUCUCGAGACUCGAGUGCAAUUGACAACCGACCCUCUUGUGCUGAUUGCAACACGCCCACCUGUGCUCCCUCUGGCUCGCCAACCCACAAAUCGCGGAGAAAGCGAAGACGGUACGGUAGAUUUGUAUGCUUAGAUAUCUCUGCGCACUCUUGUAAGCUCAGUAUACAAUUUCAUCUCUUUUGUGACAAAUCUCGGAGAUGUGAGGAUGAGUAGAGUGAAGAGGAAUGGAAAGUACAAUUUAGUCCUAUUUUUUUGAAAUUCAUUUCUAGUAAAGAUUGUGUUAUUAAAAAAAAGAUCUUCUGAGACUAGUGUAAUUAGUUUUAUAUCGGAUACUUAAAU